AGCCUCUUCGAGCCCCCCCAAUCCCCCAGUGCCCCGUCCAGAGUCCAUUGCGGCAGGCCUGGAGGGUGCCAGCGCAAGGGGCGCCCCUCUUCAGGGAACGAAAUGUGUGCUAUGCCAGCCCCCCUCGCUGUCCUUAAGCUGCGCCUGCCACCAUGCUAUUUGUGGCAACGACAGAGCGUGCGCUAGGAGGACCUAGCCCAGGAAGGAAACUUCAAACACGCAUCCCAAUUACGCAGGGGAGCUGGAACCCAGGCCCUACUUGGCCCUUUCACAAGCUUCUCUUAAACUCACGCUUGCUAAAUAACCCUGUAACUGUGGCGAACUUUGCCCCACCCUCCAGACUCCCAUAUAACCUUCCCACUUGCCCACCAGCAAGCCCAACUUUUAUUGCUGGCAGUGACUUUCCUGCUAGCAGCCUCCAGAGUUUGCAGGAAUCCUCGGAUUGUGCUCAGACCACCUUGUGAUGUUCAUUUCCCUGUCCUGUGUCACCACCCGAGAUGCUGACCCAGAAUCAUCACUCCUGAAGACAGGCCGGGUGCUCCCUCACGUGACCCUCUGUCCCUGGGCCGUCUGCCCUCACAGAAGGCCUCUGCCAGCUCCCUGGGCACUUUGAACUUGAGCACGAAGCAGCUAGGUCUUUGCUUGCCUCCCUCAUCAGACUGGGAGGGACUUUGCCUUCCCCACAUUUGUGGCUGUACCUGGUCGGCUCACAGGAAGGUCGCACGCAGACCAGACCUGCUUCUGCCUGGGAUUAAGCAUCGGUCCUGAACCCAGGCCGACCAGGGCUGCAGCUGCAAACAUCCAGGCCGGUCACACGGAGGCCCUGAAGUGUGGGCACAGGAACUGGGCCUUCAUCCUAUGGAUGUGGGGAACCUGGAUAGCCACUGAGCAGGGCAGUGACUGGCGCAAACACCGGGGACUUUCUAUCCACUGUCCUUGUCGGCCCAGAGCCUGGAGGAAGGAGCAGGGGACAGCAUCCUGAGAUUUGAUCUCCACAGAUCGCAGAACACUGCUACCAACAUGGCCAAAGCUGAGGGUAGCCUCGCCCUAACCAAGGACACUGUUUGAGUGGAAAUGACAGUGCCCUGUGCGGCACACAGACCCUGUCUGUUCUGAGUAUUUCUGUGAUGAGCGCCUGGCGGCAAGUCCAAAUGACAAUUCAGUAACAGGUGCGCUGCUGGUGGGACGAUUUAACCAGUGACAUAGGGUGGGAUUGAAAUUCUGAGCUCUUUAGCGUCUCCCCCAAAAUUAUUAGAUUCAGAAAACUGCAAGCAAAACAAAACAGACGGAACAACUAUAGAAAAAAGCCAACUUGUUCAGCGCUCAGCAUCUGCUUGCAGAACCCAACCGGUGGACACAUGACCAUCGGCUGCUCACGUUGUGAGUCGCACUCAGCUUCCCUUGCUCCAUGCCCUGGAAAAGCACGCAGGAGCAACCUGAGCCUGGACUCCCCUCUGGCCCCUGAAGAGCCCAGCUGUCCUUCUCUGGGAAACCUCCCAGGGCUUGCAGGUCAGCUGAAAGUCACCCCGGGCCUCGCCAAGGCCUCUGUGUCCCCUCUGUCCCUGCACAGGGGGUCUGGCUUCCUUCUCUGCUCCUCUCUAGUCCCCCCAUAGAAUCACCUGAGGCUUGGGUCUGAAAUUCUGCACUGGAGAACCGACCCUUCCUGCUGCUCUGGGGAGAAAGUUAACCUCAGGAUGCUCUGGGAAAUGACCGAACCAAGGGGCCCAAAGGCUGGCUGCCCACGGGGCCUCAGUGCUUGCCAGGAUGUGACCCUCAGACUGAGAAUGUGAAGCCAGCCCUGGUCUCCCAGUCAGCCGCUCCUGUCCUCUUUGGGCUGGAGCCCAGGAGUCCAAGGGGAGGGGCUGCCUGGCAGGAUCCGAGGCCCAGUUGGAGCUGUCUGGCCUGGGGGCUCCCCGAGGACAGGGUGGGGCAUCCUCUUUGGUCUAGAAGGUAGGCUGCUCCUCCCCACCUGCUGUGUUCCAAGUUGGAGCUCAGAUCCUCACUGCAGGGUGACCUUGGCCCAUUGCCUCUCCUCCCUGAGCCUUCGUGUUUGCCCUUGGAGGGCCACAGUGAAAGUCCCACUUCCUGACUGACUUCCCAACCCUGCCUGCCCUGCCCUGUCCGGCCUCACCUGCUUACCCCACCACCCCAAGUUCUGUCCCUGGACACACCACAUCUGCUUGGCAGCCCGCAGGCCUGGGUACUGCUCUUUGGACUUUCCCCUCCAGAGCUCCACUUCCAUUCUACCACUUUGCAUUGCUUUUUUUCUGCAAGGUGUCUCCUCCUCACUUCUGUCUCUUUUUAAGUUUAUCUUGGGCACCUCCUCCACCAGGAAGGCCUCCCUGAUCUUCCCUCUGUGGAAUGUGCUUCCUGAUGACCCCAUGUAUUAUAUUUGUUUGCUGGUCGUCUCCCUCCCUAGGCUGGAAGCUGCUUGGGAAUCUCAUGAGAUUCUUCAUAACAGUAACAGCAGGAAUGAUGGGAUAAAAAAAAAAUCAUUGGGCCUUUAUAAUAACAACUGAAUCCAAAACAGGUCACCUGUGGAUGCUCAAAUGAGUGGGUAAAAGUUUGAGCAGCAAGAUAUUUAAAAAGCCUCAAAGUACCUCAAGAACAAAAUGAAACAAGGUAACUUUUCAGUAGAGUCUGACAGACCUGGUCUUUACCAAGUGAUCCUAAGAAUGGGACACAUCUCAGGUCCUCCUGAUAGGACCCCCGGGAAGACAUGACCCCCGCUGUGGUCAUUGGCCUGAACAGGGAGCUUUCAUCAUGAUGGACAUUCUACAAAUUCACCAGUCUGUGCUCCUCAAACUGUGCUGCCCUGAAAUGAACUCUUUCCAGAAACAGGAGCCAGGCCUGCUGGGAGGUCAGAGUGGAGAGGGGGACCAGGGCCCUGUGUCACAGAGUCGGCAGCUGCUGUCACCUGCACCACAGCCCUGGUGUGCAACAUGUCUCGGCUCUACUCUCUGAGUCCUGCAGGUCAGUGUGAGAACUAGUACUCCAGGGCUCCUUCCUCCCAAAGUACUAGGGAAGAGCCCGGCGCUUCGGUUUUCCAGCUCCUGGAGGCCUCCGAGUCCCUUGGCUGGCGACCCCGUCCUCCUGCACGGCAUCUCUGGGUCUCUGACUUCCCUCCUUUGACCUCACUCAGGCACUGUGACCCACUGGGCCCCCUGAGGCGAUCACGGAUCGCUGCCAUCUCAGACCCUUAAUUUGGUGGUUGUAGAGUCUUUUGGCCAUGGACAGUGACCUGUUUGGAGAACUGGGGACUUGGAUGUGAAUGUCUCAGAGGCCAUAUUCCGUACCAUUAGAGUUCAAAGCAUAGCCACCGAGGCAGGCGACUGUGCCGUUUGCUCCCUCUGGGGCAUUGGGCAUAUUGCUUCUCCAGCUGAGUUCCCCCACAUGUGAGGAAGGGAGAGUAAAAGUUGUCAGAGGGUCAGAGAGGUGGCAUCUGUGCUGUCUGCAGGGCGGGGCAGGCACAUGGGAGAUGCUGGGUGGAAGCUUGUGUUUGUGCAGCCAUUGGGGUUAGAACCAUGGGAAGAGGGAGUGGAAGGAGGGAAGGAGAAGGGGGAAUAGAAGGAGAGGAAUCAGGGUAAGAGGAGGUGAAGAAGAAAAAGGUGAAUGAAGAGGAGGAGGAGGAAUAAAAGGAAGAGGAGGAAGGAUUGUCCACAGAAACAGGAAGCCACUUCCAAUGGGUAAAGUUCUGGGGACCUCCGAGGGGCCGGGCUUUACUGGCCAUGGCCCAAGACAGGGUCACCCUUUCAGCAGCAGGACCAGGUGUUGAGGAGUCACCAGGCCACUUCCCUAACAUCCAGCCAGGCUGCUUUGCCUGGCUCCCGAGUGGUAAACUGGCAGCCCAGAGGAGAAGCCCAGUCCAUGCCCAGGGCCUGCAGGAGGGUCAUCUCCUAGGACCUUGGGUGGCUCCUGGUCCAACUGCCACUGUGGGGGGACACAGAGGCCACAGAUGCCUGGGCUGUGGGUGGUGGUGGUGAUGUGUCCAGAGUCUCCCUGCCACCCACCCAUGUGGCAUCUUCAUUUGGCUCCAUGGUGCUGAGCAGGGGCAGACCACUUGGACCAGAAGGCAGGACAGCUUCCAUCUGUUCCCGUCCUUGCUGAGUCCAAAGAAGAUCUCACCCACAGACAGAGACCAACCCCGGGAUCCAGGAGCAAGGGACAGAAGGGUAGGGAGCUGGCAGGAGGUGGCCAUGGCCCUGUGGCCAGCCAGGGCUCACUGGAUGGGUCCAGUCUAUAGUAAAGAGGGCUUCCGUCACUGUA